rnacentral:sRNA from 1 species
ACAAAGACAAAGAGGUAAAUAACAUGCUAGUAACAAAAGUAAUUCACAAAAUCUAAAAUAUUGAACCAAGCGAAAAAGAUUCGGCCUUAAAAUAUAGAUACGCCAACGAACUUGAGUAUCUCGUUUACAAUCUGUUUUAUAGCGCAAUUAAAG